CACUGCUCUUCCUGCUUCCUGGAGGUCGGCAAACUCACACUGGUUGAAUGAAAUAUCUCCAAAUCUUCUUCCUGACCCACAGCCACACACAUCCUAGAAAUUCCCGUCGACACACCUUUUACUGCUCGCCGCUGUCCACAGUGAUUGCUCUCUUCCUGAAGUCCCACAAACCUUACGUGAAGUCUGAUGGGACACUGAAGCAUGACUGUGACCCAAGGAGGGAAGUGCAACGUGUGUGUCUCUGUCCCUUGCUGUUCAUUCACACAGAGCGUUCAAGAUGCUCUCUGAACCCACGAUGCGUCAGUGAUCGGUGAGACUCAAAGUGAGCACGAGAUGCUGGAAGUCCUUUGAAGAAGUGAUCCACAGUGGAAUGAGUGUCUGGGACUUCAGUAAAGUCCUUGGUUCUGGAAGAUUUCAAACAGCAAUUAGAAGAUGUCUAAGAGAUGUGGUAGAAGACUCCUGACAUGACCGGGAAGCUCUGCACAGCUGCACGCUGGUACAUCCUUGCUUGCCUGAGAAUCACAGUCGUCUGGAGCUCUCAGGAAACACAGACUCCUGGGCCCCAUCCUGACCUAUUACAGAAUCAGAAUCUCCUGACGCAGGUCCAGGUGUUUUGUGCACAAACGUUCCAGCUGAGUGCCGCCUACAGUUGGGCAAGUUUGGAGAUCACCAUGGCGCUCCAUUUACUUUGGAACACUCAAGUAGUAAGGGGAAAAUACCUCAAAUGAGCAUGCACGUGACUUCAGUAUCGUGCAUGAAGCCCCUCCCAAGUGCUGGCACAUGAGGACAGCCCACUCCAAGGGAAGAAUCAGAGGAAGAGAGAUGCAGAUGCUGGAAUCAUGCUCAUGUAUAAAACCCCAGAUGAACUUUUUCUCCUGAAGAGGCAAGAAUCAAGUUGCUGCAGAACCAUUUGGAUUUGCUGCUGCUAACAUACUUUGGUGUGGUGACUCAGAUUAGGAAUUGUGUCUCCAUAACACAGGACACCCUACUUGGAUGCAUCCCUAGGAACUCGGAAACGUUUGAUCUCCCACACUUUAAAACAAAAAGCUAGUUUUCCUUAGUAAUACAGUUUGGCCUAAAAAUGAACUGAGAAAAAAAAUCACAAAAGUCAGUCUUAGAAUCCAGUGCGCCUAUGAAGGAAAUCCUCAAAUUAGCCUCCUCAGCCUUUUAUGACUAAGAUCAGGACAAGGAGGACAGGGCUAAGAAAAAGGAGAAACUCAAGGACAAGAGGCAGCUCACAUACUGGCUGCUUUACAAGCCCCCAGCCCCCUCCAGACUGCCCUAAGGCCACUCCCCCAGGUAACUGCCAUUGGCAUGGGAAGCCAGGCUGCUGGAAGGCAAACUGGUCCAAGGGGAUAAAUGGGAAAAAGCCCCUCACAGUUUGACCCCUCUGCCACAAGCUCAUCCACUGAAAAUGGGACUGCUCUGAGGGCCAAAUGGCUCCCGGGACAGAAUCCCAACCCCUGAAUGCUGUGAGCUGAAGGAGCUCUCUGCUCAGCUGGCUUCCAAAUCAGACGUCGUCAUCAACAGGACAAAGCCAAGGACAACUCUUGGAGGUCAUCAAGCUCCAGAUGAUCCUCAAUGAGGGACGCCGUCCUCUCAAUAUUCAAGUCACCAUUCUACAGAGGACAGCUAGACUGCCCAGCAGAGGGACAUGACAGAGGUCAAAUCCUGCCCCUGUUUCCCUUGGACCUGGCUGAAUACCACUUUCACCAACCCAUGGAGCCACCCUGCCCUGAGAGCUAGCAAGAGUCCAAGACCCACAGAACAACCACCACCACCCCUCUCUCAGCAGGAAGCAGUUAGAGAAGACUGACCUUCAUCCCUUUUCCCAAAGAAUUGGGUCUUGAACUCUUGAGUGGGAAAACGUUACAGCAGGGCAGGAGAGCACUGCCUUCUCAACCCCCUGCUCUGACACCGAGGAAUGUCAGGCAACCAUUAGGUGCUGGUCAGGCAGUUAUUAAUCUGUCUUGCUAAGAUAAUAGUUGGUUACAGCUGGCACCAGGGAACAACAAAAACAACUGAAAACAAUGGAAGCUGGUGAUCAGCAUCUUUCCAACAAGAUCUCGGGAGUUGGGUGAGUGGGCUCAAGCAUGUGCACUAAGAGGCAAAAUGGUGGAGUUUAACUGGUAGAUGACCUUCCUCUAGGAACACUGGACUGAUUAGGGAAAAACGCUUCAAGUGAGCAUGCAUGCAACUUCAGUAAAUGCAUUGUGCAUGCAGCCCCUCCCAAGUGCUGGCAGACCACUGCUCAUGAGGACAGCCUGCCCCAAGGGAAGAAUCGGAGGAGGAGAAAUGGGGAUCCAGGAAAAAUGCCAGUGUAUAAAAACCCCAAGUCAAGGACUAAACAGCACCUGAAUCUUUCAAGGAGCCUGCUUGGCCCUCUUCCAAGAGUACUUUGUUUUGUUCCUGCUCUAAG